CAGGCGUUCUGUCCGACUAAUGUGUACAGAGUGCGUAAGUUUGAAAGAUCCUGAACUUCUGGUAUGAUCAGCUUCUGAGGCGCUCAUACACCCGCGCUUGUGUAGACACGGCAGAUGCACGUAUGCGGGCUUUUAACGGCGCUUGCGUAUAUGGGCUAUGUCGUCUGCUGCGCCGCUGCUUCGCACCUGUACGUCUGCUAAAUAAAGUUUGUAUACCACCACCUGUACGUCUGCACCACGGUGUAAGAAUAGGCUGUGGUCUGCACGAAGCCGGCGCCGGCAAUAGAGAGCGUAGAGAGGGCGCAAUAUAAUCGCGAAUCAGCUCUGCGCUUUUUCUGCACCUUUUGUAACGAAUGGCGAGGUGCAGCACUUUGCAAAGUGGUGUAGGUGAAUCGAACGUACCUUAGGUGCGUUCGAUUCACCUACAUCACAUACGAACCGUAGCGAAGCCGCCACGGAAAGCUGGAUUGUGGAUCGGAUUAAAACAAUAAUUAUUACACUUUUUUUUUGUUUUUGUCAUUCUCUGAUGCUGGUGCGACCCGCGCGACUCGAACACACUUCCCGGUGCGCUUGUUUUCAUUGCGUAUGACGAGCCGUAAUUCAUGAAGUAAUAAUGUACUUUUGCUCUGGCAAUUCGAGAGGUGGCGCAUAGUGAAGCCAAGAAAUUUCGGGGCUAUAAAAGAACGUCGGUUCCUUGGUUUUCUCUGUCCUAUCGUCUAUCGUACAGGAUACGUGCCAUCGCCAUCGACAGUCUUGCCGUAGCCUUGCUAGUUCGCAACGUGCACGAUGCCGAAACCAUAUAGGGUUGUCAAAUUCCCCGACGAGAAAGACAGCUUGGCAGUUGUGCCAACCUCGUGGCUAGCUCACAAUGAAGAGCUCUGCUUCUGGCCCCAAUGUGUCAGAGGGGUCAGAAGUGAUUACAAUGAUUCAACACGAAGUUGCCCCACAACAAGAUUGGGGAACGUAUCUCGUUGUUGUGAUGGCGAGGUGCAGCACUUACGAAAAGGCAACGAGAAGAGCAAAAAGAGCAGAAGCUCUGUCUGGUGUGGACACAACAGAGCAGUCGGGUAAUUGCUUCUGUUCUCUUUUCUUUCUUUUUUUUUAAUGCUUGCGCUUAUGGGAGAGGGGAAGGCAAAUUUAGAUCAGGGCUACAUUUACAGAGCAGUCGCUUUGCUGACGGCUGACCAGGAAGCUAGCAGAUGUAGGCAUCGGGCAGAACUGGCAAGUCGAAGUGCAUGCAAUAAACGCUAGCAGGAUGCAGUACAGCAACUUCCAGAUUAAUUUAACUUUGUGUUGCCAUGUGCUUGCCUCCUGGGUAGCUCUAUAACUGUCCCAAAAAAUGGUGGUAUAUUAUUGAGUACAUGAACCAAAAUAGUCUUUCUUUUACUGCAGUACUUUUUUUUUCUUCAAGGAAGCUGUAUGGAUUUUCUCUCCCCCCCCCCUUUUUUUUUUUGAGCUUCAUCCUAUUUAAGCAGCCCACUUUUUCUUUCACGACUACCUUUGCCUUGAAAAUUUCUGAAUUGUUAACUUGGUAUGCAGUGUGUUCCACGUAACUUGAGCCAAACUAAAAAUAUGCAAAUGCCAUGUAGCUGGACCAAACCAAGCUGUUUUUUGCUGUUGCUUCGUGAUACUGAGAUUUCUUUUUAAGUUCUCUCUAACUUCAUUAAUCAUCUUCUCAAUUUAGAUGAAAAGUGCCAAUGACAACAUUGUAGAAAAUGAAAAAUUCCCGAUACAGCUUCCUGUUGCUCAAUACGUGCUACAUAAAAUUGUUUUUC